GUGGCGGACGGGUGAGUAAUACGUCGGAAUCUGCCUAUUUGUGGGGGAUAACGUAGGGAAACUUACGCUAAUACCGCAUACGACCUACGGGUGAAAGCGGAGGACCUUCGGGCUUCGCGCAGAUAGAUGAGCCGACGUCGGAUUAGCUAGUUGGCGGGGUAAAGGCCCACCAAGGCGACGAUCCGUAGCUGGUCUGAGAGGAUGAUCAGCCACACUGGAACUGAGACACGGUCCAGACUCCUACGGGAGGCAGCAGUGGGGAAUAUUGGACAAUGGGCGCAAGCCUGAUCCAGCCAUGCCGCGUGUGUGAAGAAGGCCUUCGGGUUGUAAAGCACUUUUGUACGGGAAGAAAAGCACUCGGUUAAUACCCGGGUGUCAUGACGGUACCGUAAGAAUAAGCACCGGCUAACUUCGUGCCAGCAGCCGCGGUAAUACGAAGGGUGCAAGCGUUACUCGGAAUUACUGGGCGUAAAGCGUGCGUAGGUGGUUUGUUAAGUCUGAUGUGAAAGCCCUGGGCUCAACCUGGGAAUUGCAUUGGAUACUGGCAGUCUAGAGUGCGGUAGAGGGUAGCGGAAUUCCCGGUGUAGCAGUGAAAU
rnacentral:rRNA from 1 species